rnacentral:rRNA from 1 species
UGUUAUCACGGGAGACACACGGCGGGUGCUAACGUCCGUCGUGAAGAGGGAAACAACCCAGACCGCCAGCUAAGGUCCCAAAGUCAUGGUUAAGUGGGAAACGAUGUGGGAAGGCCCAGACAGCCAGGAUGUUGGCUUAGAAGCAGCCAUCAUUUAAAGAAAGCGUAAUAGCUCACUGGUCGAGUCGGCCUGCGCGGAAGAUGUAACGGGGCUAAACCAUGCACCGAAGCUGCGGCAGCGAACGUAUCACCCAAGACAACUUUACGGAGUUGACGAUUGACGGAGCGAAGCGACGUCAAAGCGUUCAUUAAAGUCGAGUUGGCUUAGGGAUACGUUCGUUGGGUAGGGGAGCGUUCUGUAAGCCUGUGAAGGUGUGUCGUGAGGCAUGCUGGAGGUAUCAGAAGUGCGAAUGCUGACAUAAGUAACGAUAAAGCGGGUGAAAAGCCCGCUCGCCGGAAGACCAAGGGUUCCUGUCCAACGUUAAUCGGGGCAGGGUGAGUCGACCCCUAAGGCGAGGCCGAAAGGCGUAGUCGAUGGGAAACGGGUUAAUAUUCCCGUACUUGGUGUUACUGCGAAGGGGGGACGGAGAAGGCUAUGUUGGCCGGGCGACGGUUGUCCCGGUUUAAGCGUGUAGGUGUGUGUUCCAGGUAAAUCCGGUUCACUUUAACACUGAGGCGUGAUGACGAGGCACUACGGUGCUGAAGCAACAAAUGCCCUGCUUCCAGGAAAAGCCUCUAAGCAUCAGGUAACAUCAAAUCGUACCCCAAACCGACACAGGUGGUCAGGUAGAGAAUACCAAGGCGCUUGAGAGAACUCGGGUGAAGGAACUAGGCAAAAUGGUGCCGUAACUUCGGGAGAAGGCACGCUGACACGUAGGUGAAGUGAUUUACUCACGGAGCUGAAGUCAGUCGAAGAUACCAGCUGGCUGCAACUGUUUAUUAAAAACACAGCACUGUGCAAACACGAAAGUGGACGUAUACGGUGUGACGCCUGCCCGGUGCCGGAAGGUUAAUUGAUGGGGUCAGCGCAAGCGAAGCUCCUGAUCGAAGCCCCGGUAAACGGCGGCCGUAACUAUAACGGUCCUAAGGUAGCGAAAUUCCUUGUCGGGUAAGUUCCGACCUGCACGAAUGGCGUAAUGAUGGCC